ACGAACGCUGGCGGCAUGCCUAACACAUGCAAGUCGAACGAGACCUUCGGGUCUAGUGGCGCACGGGUGCGUAACGCGUGGGAACCUGCCCUUAGGUUCGGAAUAACUCCCCGAAAGGGGUGCUAAUACCGGAUAAUGUCUUCGGACCAAAGAUUUAUCGCCUUUGGAUGGGCCCGCGUUGGAUUAGCUAGUUGGUAGGGUAAAAGCCUACCAAGGCGACGAUCCAUAGCUGGUCUGAGAGGAUGAUCAGCCACACUGGGACUGAGACACGGCCCAGACUCCUACGGGAGGCAGCAGUGGGGAAUAUUGGACAAUGGACGAAAGCCUGAUCCAGCAAUGCCGCGUGAGUGAUGAAGGCCUUAGGGUUGUAAAGCUCUUUUACCCAGGAUGAUAAUGACAGUACCGGGAGAAUAAGCUCCGGCUAACUCCGUG
rnacentral:rRNA from 1 species